AAAUAGUCACCAUUAGUUCAAGGAAUAGAUUCAAGAUAAUCUGGCUACAGUAAAGGAGCUGUUGCAGAGAGGAUUUCAAGAUUCCCAUUAUCGCACUCAGAGCCCUAAUAAUUGCAUUUCUUAAUCUUUUUGAAUGACUGAUAAUAAGCUGAUUUUUAACAAACUAAAUGAACAAUUUCUUUUAGUUCUGUAACCCUAGUUGAAAUAUUUCAAUAAAUAUUUAUUGAUCAUCUCUGAUGAGCCAGGCACUGGGGAUAUACAAAUUAAUGAGACAUGUGGUCCAGAGAGACAUGUGAACAAUGACACGAUGAUGUGGUAAGUGCUCCACUGGGAAUAUGUGUAAAGCGUCAUGGGAACUUUGGGAAGUGAGCAUCUAACUUUGCUUGUGGGAUCUGUGGACAUCUAACAAAGAGAGCAUUUUUUUUUUUUUUUUUUUUGCUGAGUCAUGAGAAAAAUAGAAGAAGGAGUCAGGAAAAAGAAGAAAGGAUGACCCUUCUUAGCAGAAAAUUAAAAUGCAAAGGCAUGGAAUCAUUGUAGAGCAUGGUGAGUUAGGGGUGGAAUGAUGGAUGUAUAUCAAGGAUGUAUGAGUGAGAGGCAGCCAUAAAAGAUAAUAAGACAUUGUAACAGCACAGUGAUAGAGAUAUGCUCUGGAUACUCAUGGAAAUAAAAAGGAGGAAAUUUGGAGACAUUGAAUGAAGGGGAUUCAGCAAAGGCUCCCUGGAGGAAGUGCCCUGGAACAGCACCGACAAAGGCACAGAGGUGAAAGACAGCAUGAUGGCUGCAGGAACUUCACAUCUCAGUGUUGCUGGCGUGUCAAGAAACCCAACUGAACACGUAAGCAGAGAGUCUACAACCUAAACCAGAGGCAGGACCCGGGAGAGGAGUGGGGAACGUUUCCUACGUGAAGGGACCGUUGGGAUUUGAGGCCGGACAAUUACUCGUGGUGUGGGAACAUCCUGCACAUUACCACCAAAAGCCAAGAACAACUCCUGGUCAAUGAGCCCAGUCAGUUCCAGAGCUGUGAAUUCGGAACUCCACUCUGUGGCAUCAUCCUGGACACAAAGUACUGACCCUCGCCUUCCAGACCUCUGCUUUCACCUGACCAGGGAUUAUCAAGGCACUCUGUCCAAAUAAAUGCAGCGUUCUCUUUAGUAGGAAUUGAGAUGAGAUCAUUAAGGUCCGGAAAGAUCAAGUCUGCUCAGAAACAAACAACUAUACAUGGCCACAGAAUGACCUUUAGUCUUAGGCAAUCAUCUUGAAAAUUCUUGUUUUUCAUUUCCAGAAGUCAGGCAAGAAUGCAGAUUACAUCACGUAAUCACCACCCUCCUGCAGGACUCCAGGAAACCUCAAGCCCGUUUAGGUUCUCUUCCUCUAAUUACCAGUACCUUUCUCACUGAAGUAUUUGUCCUAAUCCUUAACCCUGACUUGCAUUUCUUUAUUUUGUCAACUGAGGAAGAGAAACGCCAUAUAAAGGUCUCAGAUAGCAGGUGGAGGGUAGCGGUGGAGAUGCAAGUGUCCUAGAGACAGAUGGGGUUCAAGUCUCAGCUCUCGGUCACCUCCCAACACUCUUCCUGUGGGCAAAUUUCUUAAGGUCUCUAAGUCUAAGUUUUGUAAUGGGAAAAACACCUACUUUGCAGAGUUUUUGUGAGGGUUGGAUGAGCAGCUCCAAACCCACUUUCCUCUAUCACUAUCUAGACCCUUGUUUGGGACAUGUGUCACAAGUCUAGACUUGCCCCUUUUUCACAGCGACCUCCUGGGUGGGAGAAAUCAAGUCUCCUUUCCUAAUCAAUGACUUCAACUGGAACUGCCUCAGUCCUUCAGGUCAGAGAUGCUCUAACAAUACUGACCCUCAAAAGGGAAGAGAUGAAGAUCUCAAUCCCUUUUAUUCCUAAAAGUUUCUUGACACCUUGUGGAAAUGUGUUUUCGUGCUCCCCAUCGCACGUACACCAACCAGCAACUGCCAUAUACCAAGAGCACAGAGAGGGGCUGUGAUUGUCUGGCCAAAUAAAAUCCUACCCCACCACCGUAUACAUCUGUAUUUUAUGUAUUUUCUUCAUCUUUAUAUUAUAUCUUCUUAUAACAUGGAUCAUAAGUAUUUGGUUCUAUUGUAGACUCAGUUGUGUAUUCUUUUUGUUGAUUACAAUGUAAGAAUUUUCAUAUUGCUACAAAAACAGAUGUGCUUGUUACUAUACAUUCACAUAUCUGAAAAGAGCCAAUAAGUGAUUCUUCCUAGAAAAGGAAGGUCUGGCCAAGCUGACCUUAUAUCUCCAACACCCGAAAGACACCUUUAAAUAGCCGUUAACUUUGCUAUAAAAUAUUCCAACAUUUUUUCUCAUUGGGCAACUCUACCAAAAUGAUAAUAUCAUUUAUUGUGUUGCUAUUCUGUUCUAAACAUUUUUGUAAGUGUUAUGCCCAUUUUUCAGACAAGGAAAUUGAGGUGCAAUGGGGUAAAAUAUUCCGCAAAAUGUCACUCAGCUAGCAGACGACAGAGCCUGGAUUCAUAACAGGUGUAUAUGAUUCUGUAAUUGAUGCCUACAUCAUCUUAACAUACAGAAUUCUGCACCAACGAAAUAAAAGCCAAAUGGCUUAAAAAGCAGUUGUGGCAGAAAGUUUUAAACCUAAGACUGUUAAAGAAAACCAGAGCUGGACAGUAGUUAAAGCUAUAAAAGUAGAUUUUAUUCAGAAACGAUUGCAAUAAACAAAAAAAGAUCUCAGUAUAGAACUGGGCUCAAUUCCAAAAACAGCAUGGACAGGCAAGAGUAGGACCAGUGGAUGGGAAAGUACUAAAGGAUUACUUACAUUUUUCACAGAGGUAGGGUGGGGAUUUCUGUCUAAACUGACUCGACAGAGUUCUUGCUGCAGGCAGGCCAGGGUGAUCAGAUAGCACCUCAGGGAUGCGGGGGGAUGAGGAAUCUUCUCAGGUAUUGAGGAUGAUCAGAUAUCAAGGGUAGGGAGUUCUCCCUUAACCGACUUAGCGACAUUCUUGCUACAACUGGGAGAUACAGGUCCAACAAGGACAGACACCAGAUUCAAAGCCUAGAGGGCUUGAAGGAGGCUGACUGGAGUUUAGUCAAGGAGAGUUUUUGUCGAGACACAGGCAGCGACUGAAGCUCAAAAACUGCGUCCUGGCAGAGAGGAGCUAGAGUGAACUCCCAAGGAAGUUAUGUGCAGUAGGCCACACCUGACAGCGUGGAUGGGCUGCAGGAGCAAUAGAGCCAUUUGGCUGCCUGCAUGAUCAGAGACCUGGCUUUGUGCUCUCACUGACUAUUCGGUCCAGCGUUCGCUGAGACCACAGAAUGGCGGAGCCCAUGAAAACUUUCCAUGAGACAUUCCAUGUUCUAGUCUAUGUUAAAUCCAGUGACAAGCUGAAAGAUACAUAUAAAACGCAAAAGUUGUCAAAAUGACCUUACCUAAGAGCUCUAAUAUUUUAUAAGAAAAGUUUAAAAGAUAGGCAAAUGGAUAAAAAAAGAUGUGGUGUAUGUAGGCACACACACGCACACACACACAAAAUCCUACCAUUUGCAACAACAUGGAUAUAUCUUGAGGACAUUAUGCUAAGUGAGAUAAAUCAGACAAAGAAAGAAAAAUACCAUAUGAUAUUGCUUAUGUCUGGGAUCUAAAAAAGCCAAAUUUAUAGAAACAGAGAGUAAAAUGGCGGUUACCAGGAACUGGGGGUGGGGAAAUAAAGGAUGUAUUGUUUAAGGGGUACAAUCUUGCAACUAGUAGGUAAAUAUGUCCCAGAAAUCUAAUGCACGGGAUAGUGAAUACAGACAACAUUAUUCUAUUACAAUCAUAUAACCUUGCUAAGAGACGAGAUCUUAAUUAUUCCCACCACAAAAAAGAACUGAUAAUUAUGUGACAUGAUAGAGGAGUUAACAUUGCUACAAUGACGAUCACAUUUAACUUAUGUAUGCAGUAUAUAAAUAAUACAUAAAUAUAUU
rnacentral:lncRNA from 1 species